AGCGAACGCUGGCGGCAGGCCUAACACAUGCAAGUCGAACGAAGUCUUCGGACUUAGUGGCGGACGGGUGAGUAACACGUGGGAACGUGCCUUUAGGUUCGGAAAAACACAGCGAAACUUGUGCUAAUACCGAAUGUGCCCUUCGGGGGAAAGAUUUAUCGCCUUUAGAGCGGCCCGCGUCUGAUUAGCUAGUUGGUGAGGUAAAGGCUCACCAAGGCUACGAUCAGUAGCUGGUCUGAGAGUAUGACCAGCCACAUUGGGACUGAGACACGGCCCAAACUCCUACGGGAGGCAGCAGUGGGGAAUCCUGCGCAAUGGGCGAAAGCCUGACGCAGCCAUGCCGCGUGGAUGAUGAAGGUCUUAGGAUUGUAAAAUCCUUUCACCGGUGAAGAUAAUGACUGUAGCCGGAGAAGAAGCCCCGGCUAACUUCGUGCCAGCAGCCGCGGUAACAC
rnacentral:rRNA from 1 species